GAUGAAGAACGCAGCGAAAUGCGAUAAGUAAUGUGAAUUGCAGAAUUCAGUGAAUUAUCGAAUCUUUGAACGCACAUUGCGCCCGUCAGUAUUCUGGCGGGCAUGCCUGUUCGAGCGUCAUUACGCCCCUCAAGUCCCCUGUGGACUUGGUGUUGGGGAUCGGCGAGGCUGGUUUUCCAGCACAGCCGUCCCUUAAAUUAAUUGGCGGUCUCGCCGUGGCCCUCCUCUGCGCAGUAGUAAAACACUCGCAACAGGAGCCCGGCGCGGUCCACUGCCGUAAAACCCCCCAACUUUUUAUAGUUGACCUCGAAUCAGGUAGGACUACCCGCUGAACUUAAGCAUAUCAAUAAGCGGAGGA
rnacentral:misc_RNA from 1 species